UAUAUGGGUUAGUGGCGGACGGGUGAGUAACGCGUGGGUAACCUGGCCCAUACAGGGGGAUAACACUUAGAAAUAGGUGCUAAUACCGCAUAACAACAGAAAGCGCAUGCUUUUUGUUUGAAAACCAAGGUGGUAUGGGAUGGACCCGCGUCUGAUUAGCUGGUUGGCGGGGUAAAGGCCCACCAAGGCGACGAUCAGUAGCCGGCCUGAGAGGGUGGACGGCCACAUUGGGACUGAGACACGGCCCAAACUCCUACGGGAGGCAGCAG
rnacentral:rRNA from 1 species